rnacentral:rRNA from 1 species
GGCAAAUCCGGAAAAUCAAGGCUGAGGCGUGAUGACGAGGCACUACGGUGCUGAAGCAACAAAUGCCCUGCUUCCAGGAAAAGCCUCUAAGCAUCAGGUAACAUCAAAUCGUACCCCAAACCGACACAGGUGGUCAGGUAGAGAAUACCAAGGCGCUUGAGAGAACUCGGGUGAAGGAACUAGGCAAAAUGGUGCCGUAACUUCGGGAGAAGGCACGCUGACACGUAGGUGAAGUGAUUUACUCAUGGAGCUGAAGUCAGUCGAAGAUACCAGCUGGCUGCAACUGUUUAUUAAAAACACAGCACUGUGCAAACACGAAAGUGGACGUAUACGGUGUGACGCCUGCCCGGUGCCGGAAGGUUAAUUGAUGGGGUCAGCGCAAGCGAAGCUCCUGAUCGAAGCCCCGGUAAACGGCGGCCGUAACUAUAACGGUCCUAAGGUAGCGAAAUUCCUUGUCGGGUAAGUUCCGACCUGCACGAAUGGCGUAAUGAUGGCCAGGCUGUCUCCACCCGAGACUCAGUGAAAUUGAACUCGCUGUGAAGAUGCAGUGUACCCGCGGCAAGACGGAAAGACCCCGUGAACCUUUACUAUAGCUUGACACUGAACAUUGAGCCUUGAUGUGUAGGAUAGGUGGGAGGCUUUGAAGUGUGGACGCCAGUCUGCAUGGAGCCGACCUUGAAAUACCACCCUUUAAUGUUUGAUGUUCUAACGUGGACCCGUAAUCCGGGUUGCGGACAGUGUCUGGUGGGUAGUUUGACUGGGGCGGUCUCCUCCUAAAGAGUAACGGAGGAGCACGAAGGUUGGCUAAUCCUGGUCGGACAUCAGGAGGUUAGUGCAAUGGCAUAAGCCAGCUUGACUGCGAGCGUGACGGCGCGAGCAGGUGCGAAAGCAGGUCAUAGUGAUCCGGUGGUUCUGAAUGGAAGGGCCAUCGCUCAACGGAUAAAAGGUACUCCGGGGAUAACAGGCUGAUACCGCCCAAGAGUUCAUAUCGACGGCGGUGUUUGGCACCUCGAUGUCGGCUCAUCACAUCCUGGGGCUGAAGUAGGUCCCAAGGGUAUGGCUGUUCGCCAUUUAAAGUGGUACGCGAGCUGGGUUUAGAACGUCGUGAGACAGUUCGGUCCCUAUCUGCCGUGGGCGCUGGAGAACUGAGGGGGGCUGCUCCUAGUACGAGAGGACCGGAGUGGACGCAUCACUGGUGUUCGGGUUGUCAUGCCAAUGGCACUGCCCGGUAGCUAAAUGCGGAAGAGAUAAGUGCUGAAAGCAUCUAAGCACGAAACUUGCCCCGAGAUGAGUUCUCCCUGAGACUUAGAGUCUCCUGAAGGAACGUUGAAGACGACGACGUUGAUAGGCCGGGUGUGUAAGCGCAGCGAUGCGUUGAGCUAACCGGUACUAAUGAACCGUGAGGCUUAACCUUACAACGCCGAAG